rnacentral:rRNA from 1 species
AACGAACGCUGGCGGCAUGCCUAACACAUGCAAGUCGAACGAGACCUCCGGGUCUAGUGGCGCACGGCUGCGUAACACCUGGGAACUUGCCCUUAGGUUCGGAAUCACUGCCUGAAAGGGGUGUUAAUACCGGAUAAUGUCUUCGGACCAAAGAUUUAUCGCCUUUGGAUGGGCCCGCGUUGGAUUAGCUAGUUGGUAGGGUAAAAGCCUACCAAGGCGACGAUCCAUAGCUGGUCUGAGAGGAUGAUCAGCCACACUGGGACUGAGACACGGCCCAGACUCCUACGGGAGGCAGCAGUGGGGAAUAUUGGACAAUGGGCGAAAGCCUGAUCCAGCAAUGCCGCGUGAGUGAUGAAGGCCUUAGGGUUGUAAAGCUCUUUUACCCGGGAUGAUAAUGACAGUACCGGGAGAAUAAGCUCCGGCUAACUCCGUG